rnacentral:rRNA from 1 species
CAGUCGCCACGGGAAUACGCAGGGUGCAAGCGUUAAUCGGAAUUACUGGGCGUAAAGCGUGCGCAGGCGGUUCGUUAAGUCUGUUGUGAAAGCCCCGGGCUCAACCUGGGAAUGGCAAUGGAUACUGGCGAGCUAGAGUGUGUCAGAGGAUGGUGGAAUUCCCGGUGUAGCGGUGAAAUUCGUAGAUAUUGGGAAGAACACCGGUGGCGAAGGCGGCGACCUGGUCCUUGACUGACGCUGAGGCGCGAAAGCGUGGGGAGCAAACAGGAUUAGAUACCCCAGUAGUCCCUGUCUCUUAUAC